GACGAACGCUGGCGGCGUGCCUAAUACAUGCAAGUCGAACGCAGUGGGGACGGGUGAGUAACACGUGGGUAACCUCCCAUCAGAGGGGAUAAAACUUGGAAACAGGUGCUAAACCGAUACUGAUGGAUGGACCCGGGGUGCAUUGGCUAGUUGGUGAGGUAACGGCUAACCAAGGCCACGAUGCAUCGCCGACGUGAGAGGGUGAUCGGCCCCACUGGGACGGAGAUACGGCCCAGACGCCUACGGUACGCAGCAGUAGGGAAUCUUCGGCAAUGGACUAAAGUCUGACCGAGCCACGCCGCGUGAGGGAAGAAGGUUUUCGGAUCGUAAAACUCUGUUGUUAGAGAAGCGGUAUCUAACCAGAAAGCCACGGCUAACUACGUGCCAGCAGCCGCGGUAAUUC
rnacentral:rRNA from 1 species